GAGCAGCUGACUUCAACCCUGAGGCGGACACUAAGUUUAGGCUAGAAACACCUAGGCAUAGAGGCAAGCAACCUUCUACCUACUUCAAUCUACUGAAAUUUUGGAUUUCAUGUCAUUUAUUCGCUAUAUUUUCAUAAUCAUCAACCUCCAAGCACAGAAGGAAGCCAACUACAAGACCCACAGCUUCUAGGGACUGCACAGCCCCGUGUCCGCUUAAGUCGUGCCAAUGGGAGAUCAUGGAAAAGGUCAAACCUUCAAGAAAGCAAAGCAGAGUCACCCAGUGUGAGAAGCUUAGAGAGGGGA
rnacentral:lncRNA from 1 species